CGCCUCUUGAUAAGAGGUCCAGCCUGCCCAGUGACGUUCAACGGCCGCGGUAUUCUAACCGUGCAAAGGUAGCGUAAUCACUUGUCUUCUAAAUAAAGACCAGUAUGAAAGGCACCACGAAGACUAAACUGUCUCCUUUUUCCAAUCAGUGAACCUAAUCUCCCCGUGAAGAAGCGGGAAUUAAAACAUAAGACGAGAAGACCCUGUGGAGCUUAAAACAUCAUAACAAUUGCAUUUUGAUUAUGUGUUUUUGGUUGGGGUGACCGUGGAGAAAAACCCAUCCUCCAUAAUGAAAAGCAAUAAAUUACAAUUUUAUGCAUCAAAACUGACAUUAUCGACCCAAUAAAUUGAUCAAUGAACCAAGUUACCCCAGGGAUAACAGCACAAUCCACUUUAAGAGCUCCUAUCGACAAGUGGGCUUAUGACCUCGAUGUUGGAUCGGGGUAUCCUAGUGGUGCAGCCGCUACUAAAGGUUCGUUUGUUCAACGAUUAAAACCCC
rnacentral:rRNA from 1 species